rnacentral:lncRNA from 1 species
AACAAGCCUCUUAAAAAUAAAUAAAACUGAUGGUGAGGUGUGACGGACCCAAUAAAGAAGGAACGAAUGUUGUGUAAAGAAUUAAGGGGUGUGUGUGUGUGGCUAUAACGUGCAACAAGAGUGAACCAGGCCAGACGUUUGAUUUCAAAGUGAAGCAAGGAUGAGCUUGGGACGGUAGCGUGAGGAUGCGCUAGAGGUCAUGACAGUGGAGGCAUUGCUGAAAUGCAAUUGAACAUGUCCUAAGUUAGUGAUACUUGAACUCGAAACCAUAUUUUGC